rnacentral:rRNA from 1 species
UAAUACGUAGGGUGCAAGCGUUGUCCGGAAUUAUUGGGCGUAAAGAGCUCGUAGGCGGUGUGUCACGUCUGCCGUGAAAACCUGCGGCUUAACCGUGGGCGUGCGGUGGAUACGGGCAUCACUUGAGUUCGGUAGGGGAGACUGGAAUUCCUGGUGUAGCGGUGGAAUGCGCAGAUAUCAGGAGGAACACCGGUGGCGAAGGCGGGUCUCUGGGCCGAUACUGACGCUGAGGAGCGAAAGCGUGGGGAGCGAACAGGAUUAGAUACCCUGGUAGUCCACGCCGUAAACGUUGGGCGCUAGGUGUGGGGCGCUGUUCACGUGUCCCGUGCCGUAGCUAACGCAUUAAGCGCCCCGCCUGGGGAGUACGGCCGCAAGGCUAAAACUCAA